GCGGCAGGCCUAACACAUGCAAGUCGAGCGGAUGAAGGGAGCUUGCUCCUUUAUUCAGCGGCGGACGGGUGAGUAAUGCCUAGGAAUCUGCCUGGUAGUGGGGGAUAACGUCCGGAAACGGGCGCUAAUACCGCAUACGUCCUGAGGGAGAAAGUGGGGGAUCUUCGGACCUCACGCUAUCAGAUGAGCCUAGGUCGGAUUAGCUAGUUGGUGGGGUAAAGGCCUACCAAGGCGACGAUCCGUAACUGGUCUGAGAGGAUGAUCAGUCACACUGGAACUGAGACACGGUCCAGACUCCUACGGGAGGCAGCAGUGGGGAAUAUUGGACAAUGGGCGAAAGCCUGAUCCAGCCAUGCCGCGUGUGUGAAGAAGGUCUUCGGAUUGUAAAGCACUUUAAGUUGGGAGGAAGGGCAGUAAGUAAUACCUGCUGUUGGACGUACCAACAGAAUAAGC
rnacentral:rRNA from 1 species